CCAACUCAGUUUCCGUGACGAGAAACUUAGGGCAAAGUUUGUUUGUGAAAUCCACCAUGGACCUCUCAUCCACACGAAGACCCAAAGGUAUCCUAGGCCCUCCCACCCAUGAUCCACGUCAAAUCCCCAUCACUGCACAGCGGCGACACCACCCUCCACCAGCGUUUCAGCACGCUUGACACUGCAAUCAAGCAAAUCAAUUCCUCUGUCGAAGAACCUUCAUGGCAAACAGAACCCUCAGCGCUCUCCUCCAUCAUUGAAAGAUUUCAAUAUUAAAAAUUCCAAAAAAAAAAAUUUAAUUGACAUAUAUUAAUUCCAUUUCUCAUGUAUAUUUUAGAUAUAUUUCUUAAUUUUCGUAUCAUAUCAUCUAGAGUUUCGAUA